rnacentral:lncRNA from 1 species
CAGGCAUAGGGCUGAUGCAUCGCAGUGUCCACAUAUGCAGGGAGGCUGGUUUCCUAGGAAGCCUCCCAAUGAGGAAAUUGUUGGGAAUGUGCUGCAAGGCGCUGCCUCGCUCUGGAGCCAGACGAGAGGCCGGAGCAUCCGCCCCAACAUGGCUGGCUGUGUGAGCCUCAGGAACGCUGGCAGCUCUGCAAGACUCUCUGCCAUCUGCAAAAUGUGGCCCAAAAACUACUUAAAAAUUAAUCAUAUCAAAACAAGAGCAUCCAUGAACCAACUUCUGAGAAUUGCUGUUGCUGAGAAAGGCCUAGUGAGCCCCUGUUUCCUCAGGCCACCUUCCUCUUCCUCCCAUUGCCAAGGGCUCCUGUCGCCCCCGUCUGCGUUCUCCUGCCUGGCGCUCUGUCACCUCCUGUGGAGGCCCCACGUGUUCAUCUGAGGGCUGCUGCUGCCCUUCCAGUAUUAUCCACACCUGCCAUUAUUACUGGGUCUUGCUCUCUGACAAAGGGGCUACAGCGCUCCUUCCUGGUACACAUGCAGCCCUCCUGCCCUUGCUCAAGGACCGCACCUCAACAGGGCACCUGCUCUCAUCUGGCCAUCGCCUCGGCAUAGGUAGCUCAAGAUAGAUGUUCAGCCCCAAGCCUCAUGGCUGACUAACCCUGUGGAACUUAAAAGUUCAAAGACAGGGAUGCCUGGAUUCUGUCUCUGCCUCUGCACGUGUGUCUGUGCAGGCAUCCGAGCUGACCGGCCAGCUUCCCGCUGGUGGAGGUGGGAGGCAUAGGCUGCUUCUACACGCCCAAAGCCUACCCACUACAGAGUUACUUGCAGUCACACAUGCUGACUAAGGGAGGAGAGCAACUCCAAUCAAACGAAGCUAAGGAAGAUAGCACACAAACUGGCAAGAAAUUCCUGAGGUUUGCUACUUCCUAUGAUGGGGACAAAUUCAAAUGAUACAGCUUUGAGAGAAAGGUGUUACAUGGAACAUAGGGUGCCUGCUGUGAGUUGCUUUUAGAGGUGAAAGGAGUAGAUUCGCACAGACAGCUGCAGGAGGGACAGGCGGACUCCACCAUCAUUGGUGGAGGGGCCGGAGCCGAAGCAGCCCCCCAGGGAGUUGGUAUUGCCUAGGGAAAUGAACGUGGGAGAGAAAAAUCCUGCCAUUCAAAGGAUGGUGAUCCUUGUCUCCACACACCCUCACCUACCCCUGCCAAAGCAGCAGCUAUUCGUUUGUUGUCACUGUUGCACUCUUCCAGUGACCUAAAGCAGCAACUUCUAAAUGUGUAAUGGAAAACAAGCAGUGCAGCUCAACAGCUUGUGGUUUCUGGGGUCUCUGCAAUUGAACUAGGCUAUCUGCUCUUUGAGCCUGGUUGCUAACCUGUGUGCUUCGUGCUCCACGUACUCCAAAUGCAGGGAAGGGCAGGGUUACUCCACGCUCCUGGGACUGAACUAACGCAUAUCACGGAGAACAGAAGACUGGCUUCUUCGUGGUUGUUGGAGACAGAGUCUGGCUCUGUCACCCAGGCUGGAGCACAGUGGCACUAUCUUGGCUCACUGCAACCUCCACCUCCCGGUUUCAAGCAAUUUUCUUGCCUCAGCCCGAGUAGCUAGGAUUACAGGCAUCCGCCACCAUGCCUGGCUAAUUUUUUGUGUUUUAGUAGAGACAGGUUUUCACCAUGUUGCCCACACUGGUCUCAAACUCCUGAGCUCAGGCCAUCUGCCCUCCUCAGCCUCCCAAAGUGCUAGGAUUACUGGUAUGAGCCACCGUGCCCAGCCAGAACCCUGGCUUCUCAUCAUCAGGAAAGAACUGAUCAGACAGAACCAAUCCAAAGAUUCAGUGAGUUGCCCAGGUGGUUUACAAGGACAUGCAAUGUUUGGGAAUACGUGGCGUGAAAUGCAGAUUUGCCAGAGCCCAGAGAGCCGCAACCAGUACAGUUGCAGAUAAAAGAUUUUCAGAGGCCAGAUUUUCAGCGCUCUGCAGUUUUAAAAACCAAAUGCACAUCUUUCUUUAGAUUUGAAUAAAUACACAUUUUGGAAAACACAAGCAACACGGCUGGGAUGCAUCUUAAAACAACAUGACGUGAACUCCACGAAUCUGAACAGAAUUAAAACCUUUGCCCUUUCUGGUUUGAAAGCCUUGCGCUCAUGCUAAAAGUGCAGUGGAGUGUGCGCACUCACACCCAAACUCUCCCCCACACGUACACUAAUACACACUCAGGCCCACUCACCGGAACACAUUCAGGCUCACAGUCACAUACUGUGUCCAGCAUUGAAAUCCCAGUGGGUUUUUGGUCUUGCUGACUUCAAGAAUAAAGUCGUGGACCCUCGAAGUCAGUAUUACAGCUCUUAGAGAUGGCCUGUCUGGAGUUCUUUCCUCCAGAUGUUCAGAUGUGACCAGAGUUUCUUCCUUCUGGAGGGUUCCAGGUUUUGCUGACUUCAUGAGUGAAACCGCAGACCUUUGCAGUGAGCGCUACAGCUCUUAAAGGUUGUGCCUCAGGUAGCACCUCUGGCGUUGUUCCUUCCUCCCAGUGGGUUUGUGGUCCCGCUGGCUUCAAGAGUGAAGCUGCACAUCUUCCUAGUGAGGGUUACAGCUCUUAAAUGUAACACAGACCCAGUGAACAGCAGCAAAAUUUAUUGCAAAAAGCGAAAGAACAAAGCUUCCACAUCACAGAAGGUGACCCAAGCAGAUUGUUGCUGCUGGCUGGGGGUGGCCAGCUUUUAGUCCCUUAUUUGACCCCACCCACAUCCUGCUGAUUGGUCCAUUUUACAGACUGCUGAUUGGUCAAUUUUUACAGAGUGCUGAUUGGUGCGUUUAUAAUCCUUUAGCUAGACGGAAAAGUUCCCCAAGUCCCGACCGGACCCAGAAGCCAAGUCAGCUUCACUUGUCAAUACUCACAUUCACACUCUGAUGCUCUCGGACCUGAGGCCGGGCAGCAUCCCUAGCAGCAUGACUCCAAGGGCAGUCGGUCCGUGAGCCAACUGGCAACACUGGGGGGCACCAACUGUGUGCCAGGCAUUGGGCUAAGGGCCAGGGAGAUAGUGUUGCAUGGACUAGAAGUGGUUUAUCUGUGGCCUAACAGAAUUACAGGGAGGACAAGCAUUAAAGAAAGAGUGACAAGUAAUCAAAUGUAUCAUUACACGUAUGUGACAGGCCAGCACGGAGCAUGUGGUAAUGAAUUCAAGAGUGUGGGGAAGGUUUCCCCCAGAAUGUACAAGGUCUUGGUGUCUCCAUAAGAAGCGAGUGUUGAGAUUUGAGGGGGCCUUGAAUAGUACUGGACAGUCCCGGGAUAGCCUUGGCCAACCGGCUAUCUCCCCACUUUACUUCUUGCCUGUGGUUUGCAGAGUAAGUGUGGCGUGUGCUGGGAAUGCAAUAUCCUGAGACAGGGAGAAACUGCCCAGAACAGUGGGCCUUGUUCCUGCCCCUCCUAGGGAAGGUGAUAUCUUGGGGAGGGGCUGUCUUAGACAGCCCAGGCUUAGUUUCUCUCUCUCCCGGAAGCAGCACGUCCUUCAAAGCUGUUAAAAUAAAAACUUCAGCUAGACGAAUUAAAUUGAAAGGAAUUUAAUUGAGCAAUGAACAAUUUGCGAAUCGGGCAGCCCCCAGAUUCACAGCAGAUUCAGAGAGACGCCAGGGGUGUCUCGUGGUCACAACAAAUUUAUAGACAAAAAAAGGGAAGUGACAAACAGAAAUCAGCAGUGAGGUACAGAAACAGCUGGAUUGGUUACAGGUUGGCGUUUGCCUUGUUUGAGUAGUUUGAACACUCAGCAGUCUGUGAGUGGUUGAAGUAUGGCUGCUGGGAUUGGCCAAGACUUAAUAUUGUUACAAGCACAUACUCCUUAGUUAGGUUUUCAAUCUUUGCCUAUUAAGCUAGGUUAUAGUUCAUCCACAAGGACUCAAAUAUAGAAGUAUGGAGUCCUUCUCAGGCCAUAUUUCGUUUGCUUUAGCAAAGCUUUUCCUAGUGAGCCACGUGUCCCCUGAGUUCUAGAACCCAGGGUGGGCUGCCUGCCAGGUUUCCUCAGCUGUAGUGGAAGCGGGGCAGAUGAAGUCGAGACUCCAUCUGCUCUGGGAAGGCUUCUUGAGCCUUGGGGGACUGGCUCACAGUGGAACCUAGUCUUCUUUCGUCCCCUGCUCCCUAUCUGUGAGUAAUAAACCUAUUUCCUAUAACCAAUUGUGAGUGUGUUCUGUCUCACUCGUCUUGGGCAGUUGGUAGCAUUGCACUCCAGGGAGCAGAAUUGCUUGGACUCCUGUUUCUGAUGGUUGCUCUCCUCCAUGCAGUGGAGUCCUCCCUUGGGAUUGGAUUGGUUGUUGGUGAACCUGUUUCACAAAUAGAGAGUGGACAGAGGAAGGGGCUGCAGGGAGAUCACAGCUGAGGUGGUGGCCCCGGGGGUUCCCACUGCUGGAAGGCUGGUGGUGGUGGC